UAGGACUUCGAGUGUGGGUGCUCCAGACAAU
rnacentral:piRNA from 1 species